rnacentral:rRNA from 1 species
CAAUUUUUACAACGAAGAGUUUGAUCCUGGCUCAGGAUGAACGCUAGCGAUAGGCCUAACACAUGCAAGUCGAGGGGCAGCACAAAGAGUAGCAAUACUUUUGGUGGCGACCGGCGCACGGGUGAGUAACACGUAUGCAACCUGCCUUCUACAAGAGGAUAACCCGUUGAAAGACGGACUAAUACUCUAUAAUACAGGGGCGCCGCAUGGCGAUAUUUGUUAAAGAUUUUAUCGGUAGAAGAUGGGCAUGCGUAUGAUUAGCUAGUUGGUGAGGUAAGGGCUCACCAAGGCAACGAUCAUUAGGGGUUCUGAGAGGAAGGUCCCCCACACUGGUACUGAGACACGGACCAGACUCCUACGGGAGGCAGCAGUGAGGAAUAUUGGUCAAUUAGCGAGAGCUUGAACCAGCCAAGUCGCGUGAAGGAAGACUGUCCUAUGGAUUGUAAACUUCUUUUGUCAGGGAAUAAAGUUGGUUACGUGUAACCAUUUGCAUGUACCUGACGAAAAAGGCUCGGCUAACUCGGGGCCAACAGCCGCGGUAAUACCGAGGAUCCGAGCGUUAUCCGGAUUUAUUGGGUUUAAAGGGUGCGUAGGCGGCUCUAUAAGUCAGUGGUGAAAUCAUCAGGCUCAACCUGAUACCUGCCAUUGAAACUGUAAAGCUUGAGUAUUAUCGACGCGGGAGGAAUGCGACAAGUAGCGGUGAAAUGCUUAGAUAUGUCGCAGAACACCGAUAGCGAAGGCAUCUCGCGAGGUAAUCACUGACGCUAAGGCACGAAAGCGUGGGUAGCAAACAGGAUUAGAUACCCUGGUAGUCCACGCCGUAAACGAUGGAUACUGUCUGUUGGGGCUUCGGCUUCAGUGGAUAAGCGAAAGUGAUAAGUAUCCCACCUGGGGAGUACGUUCGCAAGAAUGAAACUCAAAGGAAUUGACGGGGGCCCGCACA